rnacentral:tRNA from 1 species
AUUUAUUUAAUAUAACAAGUAUAGUUGAUUUCCAAUCAAAAUGUCUUUAUUCAAGAAUAAAUA